rnacentral:misc_RNA from 1 species
AAUCUUCGUUUUGUUUACGUGAGUACGUUUUUGUUUCAGUUUUUGCGUGCAUGGAUUUAUUUUACAUUUGCUGAUUUUAUUCAAUUAAAGAAUGAAAGAAAAUCACCAACGGUUCCUCGAUUUGCUAAAGUAUCAAUUUCUUUGUUGUUAUCCGCUGCACUGUAUCGACUGGGAGGCCAUUCCAGAUGACCUUACAUGGGAACAGCAGCAACAACUCGUAGAAAACACAGUCCUACAUGCACUCAACCAAAAGUAUCCGGUUAAAAUCAGUUAUCAGCUUAAUUUCCUGAAACGUCUGUUGCAGCAUCUGGAACGCAGAUAUGACGAAGUGCAUGACAGUGUAUAUGAAUGUUACUGUGCCGUUCAGCAGCGAAUAGCACAAGAUACAACUGAAAAGUACGCUUACAAGCAUUAUUUUCAGCCUGCACUUAAGGUUGAACUAACAUUGCGUGAAUCCAAAAGUUUUGUGGCGGAAGGCACAACAGGAUUAUGCAGUUGGCAAGCUUCAAUUGCAUUAGCAGACUACUUAGUAGAGAAUACGCAUAUAGUGAAAGAAGAGUGCGUUUUAGAGCUAGGUGCCGGCACUGGUUUGUGUGGUAUGAUUUUAGUGCGGUGUUGUGGCGUACGUCAUAUAUUACUAACAGAUGGCAGUCGCGAAUGUGUGGAUCUAAUGAAAGAAAAUGUGUGUCGAAAUUUCACGGAAGCUAAUGAAACCAGCGAUGGUCUCUUUGUGGUAAAUCAAAGCACAUUAAGUUUGAAUAAGCUGGAAUGGGGUGCAAUCGAAGAUAUGAAAUGGCCAGAUUCCUUUGCAGCUGAUGUAAUUUUAGCAGCGGACGUAGUAUAUGAUGACACCGUUUUCGAGUCAUUGACGCAUGCCAUCGAUUACGUUUUUAAAAUUAGAAAAGAUAAGUGUGAAAUGUUACUUGCCGCAACGGUAAGGAACGAACACACGCUUCAGACGUUUCUGAAUUCACUUUCUGCAUUUCCGAUACGUCGAGCGAGAUGUUAUACCUUUGGAUAAAUGCAAUUUUUACUGGGAUCGCACAACCCCUGUGAAAAUUUUUAAUAUAACACGCUAACAAAGUGCAUAUGUGCACUUAUCGUUGGAAUAGAUCCAUCCUGCAAGCACGUCACAUCCAAUUGCUCUAUCUCAUGUUGUUUAAAUAUUAU